AUGAGGAGACGCCUGCCGUGGUGGACGCGAAGACAACAUCCGUGGGCAUGGAAGACGGUUUUGGAUCUUGUGAGCCGCCGCCGCUGGCGUACAGAAAGUCAACGUCGGCCUUCUACUGCUCCAUGUCCAACAAGUCGCCCACGAGGCGUCAGUGUGGCAUUGCUAGCUCCAGCUUCCCCCCGCAAUCAUCUCUGCCGCCGGCACUUGCACGCAAUCGUGCUGGUUUCUGUAGUUCAAGAUCAAAGGCAAGAAUCAGCCAAAUAUGAUGAUGAGAACAACGCUAAUGAUGGAGAACCUUUAUAUAUCGAAGCUGAGAAGUCUAUUGGGAAUACUAAAUUUCAAUGCGCAUCCUAA
rnacentral:rRNA from 1 species